rnacentral:misc_RNA from 1 species
GAAAUGCGAUAAGUAAUGUGAAUUGCAGAAUUCAGUGAAUCAUCGAAUCUUUGAACGCACAUUGCGCCCAUUAGUAUUCUAGUGGGCAUGCCUGUUCGAGCGUCAUUUCAACCCCUAAGCACAGCUUACUGUUGGGACUCUACGGCCUCCGUAGUUCCCCAAAGCGAUUGGCGGAGUGGCAGUAGUCCUCUGAGCGUAGUAAUUUUUUAUCUCGCUUUUGUUAGGUGCUGCCCCCCCGGCCGUUAAACCCCCCCAAUUUUUUCUGGUUGACCUCGGAUCAGGUAGGAAUACCCGCUGAACUUAA